GACAGCUUAGUAUAUAUCGUCAUUGUGGUAUGUCUUAUUGUGUACCAUUUAAACAUGCUUUACGCUGUUUGUGGCACUGAUCUCAGUGGGCGUGUCUGUGUGUGAUUGACAGGUGAAGCGCUCACUCAGAGCAGUCUGCUGGAGGCGGACUCCGGCGGUGAUUCGAUGGUCAGCGUGAAUCUGCAUCACGCCAUCUUACCAACUCAAGGUGCGGCGGUCGUGGUUCUGACUCCGCCCCAUGACCUGGUCACCAUGACGACGGGCCACGGCUACAGCGAUGACGUGGUCGCUCUGCUCUAACAGCUGCUUUUGUAAAUAAACUCUUUUAGGAAAAACACGCUUCUCCAUUUCAUCAU